rnacentral:lncRNA from 1 species
UCUCUUAGAAUUCUAUGAGAGGAGAGCUCAAAUCGAGAAAGGUCUACCAUCUUUUCUUUCUUAUCCAAGAUGUCAACGUCAUGUAGAAUUUUCUUCUUCAAUUUUUUAUCCGAGAUUCUCCUAUCAAAAGCCCAGACUCUAAUUGUUGCCUGAAUACUUCUUAGAUUUUCCACCCAUGCUUCUGUGGAGUUAAAUGGACUCCAUGCAUCCUUCACAAUCUCCUCAAAUUCUGGUUCUUUCAACUAUCAAGAUUCAAACCUAAAGAUUCUGGACCCAAGAAACUUUUUCUUGCACUCCAAAGCAAUAGGCACAUGGUUAGAAGCACAACUAGAUAAAGAUCAUUUCAUUGAGGCUAGAAAAAUGUCCUCCCAUUUAAAAGAAAGCAGAAAGUGGUCAAGUUGGGUCAAGGUAGGACUGUCCCCCAUAUUGCUCCAAGUGUAGUAUCUGCCUCUAACCUCCAGAUCAAUCAUACA